rnacentral:rRNA from 1 species
UACAGAGGUCUCAAACGUUGUUCGGAUUCAUUGGGCGUAAAGGGUGCGUAGGCGGCGCGGUAAGUCGGGUGUGAAAUCUUGGAGCUUAACUCCGAAACUGCAUUCGAUACUGCCGUGCUUGAGGACUGGAGAGGAGACUGGAAUUUACGGUGUAGCGGUGAAAUGCGUAGAUAUCGUAAGGAAGACCAGUGGCGAAGGCGGGUCUCUGGACAGUUCCUGACGCUGAGGCACGAAGGCCAGGGGAGCAAACGGG